UACGUAGGGGGCAAGCGUUGUCCGGAAUUACUGGGCGUAAAGGGUGCGUAGGCGGCCUAAUAAGUCAGAUGUGAAAUACCGAGGCUCAACCUCGGAGGUGCAUUUGAAACUGUUGGGCUUGAGUGCAGGAGAGGAAAGUGGAAUUCCUAGUGUAGCGGUGAAAUGCGUAGAGAUUAGGAGGAACACCAGUGGCGAAGGCGACUUUCUGGACUGUAACUGACGCUGAGGCACGAAAGCGUGGGGAGCAAACAGGAUUAGAUACCCGGGUAGUCCCU
rnacentral:rRNA from 1 species